ACUUAGCACUUGGAAGAAGCUAAAAGGCCCUGGCCUGGAAACAUCUCCACUUUGCCUCUUUCCUGCUCCAGCCUGCAGACUAUGAACAUACACUAAUGGGAGAAUUCUAACCAAGGGACUGAGGACUUUAAGGGUUCAAAGAGGGAUGAGCUGGUUUCUAUGCACACAGCUUCUCCUGGUGUAGAAAGACUGCUCCAAACUGACACGCCAGUGACCUGCAAGUCCCAGCUGAGGAACAGGCUCUCCAAGAGGAAACAGUAAAUACAGGCAUGUAGAAGGGAAUACAUCAUAUUCUCAGUUCAUAGGUUCUUGGAAAAGUCACAUGACUGAAGCUGGAAAACUUGGUAGAUUUCAGCCACACUUUGGAGGACCUGUCAAAAUUCACAUUGGCCUUCAAAAUACCCCAAUUAUAUUACUCUUUGAGUGCAUUGUGGACACCAUCACCCCAAGGCACUACAUACAGAGAAUGCGGCCUCCAGUUUCUAACAUUUUUGCAGCAGUGUUAUUGACACCUCCUAUGAUUGCCAUGAAGAAGGUUGGUAAAAAAAAAUGGUCAAUUUAAGUUUGGCGUAAGAGAGCUGUGGGUACCACAGGUGAGGGGAUGAAGUAAAUCCAUUUUAAAACAGAGUUGUUUGAUUCCACUUGAAUGAACCAAGUCAGACAAGGUCAACGAUACUAUAGAAUAGAUACACUCAGCUUCCAAAAUAUAUUAAACUAAAUAAAACAGAGUGAGAGCAAAAAUUUUAAACAUACAUACAUACAUA